UCCCUGGUGGACUAGCGGCGGAAGAUCCCGCGCUCUCACCGCAGCCCGGGUUCGAUUCCCAGGCAGGGAA